UACGGCCAAAUCACGUUGAAACACCUAUUCCCAUAUGAUCAUCGAACUUAAGUAACGCCAGGUCAGGUCAGUACUUAGAUGGAUGACCGCUUGGGAAUAUCAGG